AGUGAACGCUGGCGGCAUGCUUUACACAUGCAAGUCGGACGAGUGGCGGACGGGUGAGUUACGCAUCGGAACGUACCGAGUAAUGGGGGAUAACUGUCCGAAAGGGCAGCUACUACCGCAUAUUAUUCGAGCGGCCGAUGUCUGAUUAGCUGGUUGGCGGGGUAAAGGCCCAGCAAGGCGACGAUCAGUAGCGGGUCUGAGAGGAUGAUCCGCCACACUGGUACUGAGAUACGGCCUCACCUCCUACGGGAGGCAGCAGUGGGGAAUUUUGGAGAAUGGGCGCAAGCCUGAUCCAGCCAUGCCGCUUAGCUGAAGAAGGCCUUCGGGUUGUAAAGGACGUUUGUCAGCGAAGCGGUACCUGAAGAAUAAGCACCGGCUAACUACGUGCCAGCAGCCGCGGUAAUUC
rnacentral:rRNA from 1 species